rnacentral:rRNA from 1 species
GUUGUAGCAAUACGGCUUUGGAAGCGGCGCACGGGUGCGUAACACGUAUGCAACCUACCUUUUACUAAGGAAUAGCCUCUCGAAAGAGAGAUUAAUACCUUAUAACAUGUUUUGAAGGCAUCUUCAGAACCUUAAAGCUCCGGCGGUAAAAGAUGGGCAUGCGGUUGAUUAGCUAGUUGGUGAGGUAAUGGCUCACCAAGGCUUCGAUCAAUAGGGGGUCUGAGAGGAUGUCCCCCCACACUGGUACUGAGACACGGACCAGACUCCUACGGGAGGCAGCAGUAGGGAAUAUUGGACAAUGGGCGCAAGCCUGAUCCAGCCAUGCCGCGUGCAGGAUGAAGGCCCUAUGGGUCGUAAACUGCUUUUGUACGGGAAGAAACCUCACUACGUGUAGUGAGUUGACGGUACCGUGAGAAUAAGGAUCGGCUAACUUCGUGCCAGCAGCCGCGGUAAUACGAAGGAUCCAAGCGUUGUCCGGAUUUACUGGGUUUAAAGGGUGCGUAGGCGGACUUUUAAGUCAGUGGUGAAAGCUCGCAGCUUAACUGUGAAAUUGCCAUUGAAACUGAAAGUCUCGAGUGUGGUUGAGGUAACUGGAAUAUAUCA